rnacentral:rRNA from 1 species
GAUGAACGCUGGCGGCGUGCCUAAUACAUGCAAGUCGAGCGAACGGACGAGAAGCUUGCUUCUCUGAUGUUAGCGGCGGACGGGUGAGUAACACGUGGAUAACCUACCUAUAAGACUGGGAUAACUUCGGGAAACCGGAGCUAAUACCGGAUAAUAUUUUGAACCGCAUGGUUCAAAAGUGAAAGACGGUCUUGCUGUCACUUAUAGAUGGAUCCGCGCUGCAUUAGCUAGUUGGUAAGGUAACGGCUUACCAAGGCAACGAUGCAUAGCCGACCUGAGAGGGUGAUCGGCCACACUGGAACCGAGAAACGGUCCAGACUCCUGCGGGAGGCAGCAGUAGGGAAUCUUCCGCAAUGGGCGAAAGCCUGACGGAGCAACGCCGCGUGAGUGAUGAAGGUCUUCGGAUCGUAAAACUCUGUUAUUAGGGAAGAACAUAUGUGUAAGUAACUGUGCACAUCUUGACGGUACCUAACCAGAAAGCCACGGCUAACUACGUG